AUCUACGGCCAUACCACCCUGAACCCGCCCGAUCUCGUCUGAUCUCGGAAGCUAAGCAGGGUCGAGCCUGGUUAGUACUUGGAUAGGAGACCAGACUGUUAAAUU
rnacentral:rRNA from 1 species